UACGAAGGGGGCUAGCGUUGCUCGGAAUCACUGGGCGUAAAGGGUGCGUAGGCGGGUCUUUUAAGUCAGGGGUGAAAUCCUGGAGCUCAACUCCAGAACUGCCUUUGAUACUGAAGAUCUUGAGUUCGGGAGAGGUGAGUGGAACUGCGAGUGUAGAGGUGAAAUUCGUAGAUAUUCGCAAGAACACCAGUGGCGAAGGCGGCUCACUGGCCCGAUACUGACGCUGAGGCACGAAAGCGUGGGGGAGCAACAGGG
rnacentral:rRNA from 1 species